rnacentral:lncRNA from 1 species
UAGAUUUCAAGACUCAAAGGCGUUGUCCUCUCCAUCCUUUCAUUUUCACAUAUACAUUUUCUUCAUUUGUUUGUAUAAAAUUAACCCUCAAAUAUUAUAGAACAAUCACUACUGUAUAUUUGUAAGAUCUCUAAAGAAGUAGGAAAAAAUUCAAUCUUAUACGUAUCAUAGUUUGCAGAUUGAAUUAAAGAUUGAAUUUUGAUGAUUUUUGAGUUUUUUCCUUUAUUUUGGUUCAUCCUGAAUCUUUUUUAAUUAACAAGGGUUGUAUUUGGUGGCUUGAUAUAUAUGUUUUAACAAUUUAUUUUUUGUAUUUUGAGGCCUUCUCUUUGGCAGCUUCAUACUUCUCCUUGGCUUGCUCAGUCAUUGUAUCCGACGACAGCGACGUGUAACGAACCAUCAUUGAUUUUCUAGCGCUCCUUUUCCGGCGACUCAUAUAUUCACUCCAUCGUCUCUCUCCGACGUCACGCCAGAAAAAUCUCCUAUUUUCUGCUGGCAAUUCACUUUUCAGAUCUCCAGUUAAUAACAAAAUCUAACGUCUCUCUCUUUAAAUCUCUCUCGGUAAUGUUUCUUCAACAGCAUCGACGACCGGCAGGUGAGUCCAAGAAAACACUAGAUCCAGAGGCUACCAGGAAGAAGUGGUAAACCAGAUUCGGUGAAGCUCCGACGGAUUACUCCGGCAACAGGUUUUGCAGGCGGCUAGCGCACUUCCCCGCGUUCAAGUCGGGGUAAUAUCAAUAGUGGGUAAAAGAAGCGGCAGCAAUAUUUCGGCAAUCAAUUUCUACAUCAAAUUAUGGGAAUCUGACGAAUGAUUAAGAAAACACCAUCACUGCCUUUUUCUAUAGGAUCAGAUGCAUUCAUUUCAUCUCUUCUAGUGUAUACGCCUUGUGUCUUAUUGUAUAUCCUAAGCUAUUUCUUUCCUGGUUGCUUGACUGUUUAUCUUGAUCGUUUCUCGUGGGAGCAUUAGUUCCAAUUUCUCUUUUAUCAUGUUGGUAGUUUUGCUUGUAUUGGUGUUACUUUCUAAAGCAAAUUAGAGGUAUUGUGAUUAGUAGAAUUAUUGCUAUUAAUUGUUGGUUGUCACACUGGAUAAUGAUUGUGGUCGUG